GUCUCCAGAGCUGCAGGAGAAGAUGGCCUACUUGGAUCAAACCCUCGCAGGGCCAUCAGGCACCAGAAGGAUUUUGCCAGCAUAGUGCUCCUGGACCAGCGAUACGCCCGGCCCCCUGUCCUGGCCAAGCUGCCGGCCUGGAUCCGAGCCCGUGUGGAGGUUAAAGCUACCUUUGGCCCUGCCAUUGCUGCUGUGCAGAAGGUCAGUCCCACCUUUUUCUUUCUGAGAGCCUCCCCACCCCGAGAUCUCUCUUCUCACUGCCUUCUGUCUGCCCAGUUUCACCGGGAGAAGUCGGCGUCUUCCUGAUGGGCAACCACACCACCGCCUGGCGCCGCGCCCUUCCUUUGCCCUGCCCGCUGGAGACAGUAUUUGUCGUGGGCCUGGUCUACAGGGAUCCUGUUACAAGGGUGAAACCCGGGAGGAGAGUGUGGAGUCCAGAGCGCUGCCAGCGCCCAGGCACAGGCAUUAGCUCCCGUAGGAGAAAAUGGGGGAAUCCUGAAGAAACAGUGGGUCCUGGCUGGCCUUGGGGCAUUCCAGGGCAGCUCCCCUCCUGGCAUAGAAUCUUCCUUUCCAUCCUGCAUGGCUGAGAGCCAGGCUUCCUGCCUGGUCUCCACAGGAAGCUGUGGCAACUGUGGCAUCCACUGUGGCAUCUCCAUCCUGCCCACCUUCUUAAGAGUUGAGAUAGAGCAGGCCUGUUUGCCUCUGCCCUUUCUAGCCAAGGUUAACUGCCCUGGACUGCUCAUCCUCUGGUCUCAAUUUAAAAUGAUCCCAUGGCCGCAGGGCUCCUGCCCAGGGACUUGUCACCUGCCCCUCCUUCCUGAGUCACACCUGCAGCCCUGCUCCCUAACCUGUCCCACAGCCCUGCCUGGAUUUGUGUCUCUCUGGCUUCGCACCAGUUCCUCCGCAUCUGUGGCACCUCCUUCCCUCUCAACCACUUAAACAAACUCCAAGACACCUUCUACCCCACACCAUCAAUUAUGCCAAGGGCCAUUAGGCUCUCAACAUGACUAUAGAGACCCCGUGUCAUCACGGAGACCUUUUUUCCUGUGGGAAAAUAUCCCUCCCACCUGCAACAGCUGCCCCUGCUGACUGCGCCUGUCUUCUCCCUCUGACCCCAGAGAAAGGGGCCGUGGCCAGCUGGCAUCUUCUGCCGCCAUUAGGGACCAACGGGGGCCAGAGGAGAGUCACUGAUGCCCAGAUGUUUGCAUCCUGCACAGCUACACGUCCUUAAUUAAAAGUGUACU
rnacentral:lncRNA from 1 species